CUUCCUCCAAAGAAAAAUUUAAUUGGAGCCAAUCAAAAUAUGUAUUGCAGUACUACAGAUCAGUGAACCAUAAUACAAAUGAAUGUCGAGAUUUAAUCAGCAAGUGGAUGCUUUGAUUAGGUGACCUUAGCUACCAAAGUUUGUAGCUAAAUUAAGAAAAACAACCCAAACACCUCCAGCAUGGUCACCUCAUCCACAUCAGCAAGUGAAUUCCCAACCAAUUCUUCCAGGACCAUCAGUAAGGAAUUUCUCAUCCAAAGCUAAAAUCAGAAUUUUAAUAGGUGGGAACCGUUGUAUAAAAGGAUCUAAAAUGGAGCAUCACAAGUAGGCUAGAGAUGUACGUUUAUAGCAGAAUUACGAGGUAGGAUGGCAUAAGACUAACCUCACAAUAAAGCAAUACCUUGAAUAGUUCAAAUUUUCGUAAAAAGAUUCUUAUGGUGUAUUGCGAAACCAAAGUGACACCUUAGUAAUCAUUAUGCAUGUUGUUGGAAUCAACAUAUGCCGAACUUUAAUAAAUGAUGGGAGUUUUAUUAAUGUCCUAUAUUCCAAAACUCUGGAGCAAAUGGGAAUCCCAGAAACGUAUUUACUACCUUAUACCAUAAGAUUACAUUGCUUCAGUAGUAACCCUAUUGAAGUAAGAGGUCAUAUCACCCUAAUUGUUGAAUUGGAAUGUAUACCCCGUCAAAGAAGAACCAUUACUGAUUUUAUAGUGGUUGACCUACCUUCUCGUUACAAGGCAAUCCUGGAAAGAUUGAUUUUGCAUAAAUUAAAGACAGAUACUUCAAUUUACUAUUAUUGUAUGAAGUCUUAUACUAUAGGUGGAGUAGACAUUCUUAUGUUAACCUAACUAAAAUAGGUAUUUCAAACAAACAUCGUAAAAGGCCUAAAGACAAUCAUUGGUCUUUUGACGAAAUGGAAGUUAACCCUCAUCUUUAUCCAGAUGUCCUGGUCAUUGCAUUACCUGUUAUUGGAGCAAACGUACAGAAAGUACUAGUUGAUACAAGAAGCUCUCUCAAUAUUCUCUAUGUUAAUACCUUGAAAUGGAUGGGAAUUCCACUUCUUACAACGAUACUCAAAUUCAAUUUUGGGGUUAAAUGAAGCCUUGAUGAUGCCUAUAGGAAAAAUCAAGCUCAAUAUGCUAGUAGGAUAAGCUCCUCGAAAAGUUAAAGUUAUUAGUGAAUUCAUAAAGUUGGACUCCACCUCGCAUUAGUUCGCAAUCAAGGUACGACCUUUCUGCUUUGAUCUAAAAGAGAUUUGUGUCAAUGUAUCACUAUUCAAUCAAGUUCCAAUUUCCUACGUAGUGGGAGAGAUCAAAGGCUACAAGAAAACUGUCGAAAAGUGCCAACUGUUACAUUAUCUAACUGUUGGGAAAACACCUCCCAAAGAUUGUUCAAAGAUCAAACAAAGUUGACAAUGUGAAAAUUUUCAAACCACUUCAAGAACAAGAAAAUGAGGAAGAAAUGAUUUCAAUGGAUAAAUGGAGAACAAUGUGUUUGGAUUACUUGUACAAGCCUCAAGUUAAUCCUCAAGAAAGAAAAAUAAUUUUGAAUUUAUACCCAAGAUGAACAACCUUCAAUCUUGUAAAAUUCUCUCCAAAUUUUCUCUCAAGUUUUUCUCCUAAAAAUGGGCUCAAGGGUUUAUCUAUAUGUGAAAGAGGCAAAAAAUUGGGAUAUAUAUAAUGUACCGGGGCGCCUAGGCGCCAUUCACUUUCUCUUCAACUUCUUCUCUUCCUUCUCUUCUCACAAUUCUCCACCUCGUACAUCAUUUGAUAGACCUCAAAUUUUGGACGAACACAAGAAGAAUAAGCAAGCACCAAAAAAAAAAAAACUCGGCUGCACCAUUCAAACCAUGAUUGCCUACGUACCCAAAACUCGGGAACAAGCCUCCGUAAUUCACCUCCACCUUCAUAUACUCUCCACCUCAUUUCAACCUCGCCCCGAAGGGCCAUGCCCGCUCGGGCAUAUCAACACGGACUAAUGUGAAGCAAGUCCAAGCAAUGUUGAAACUUGCUUCCCGUUACCACUUUGGUUAACAUGUCAGCUGGGUUCUCAUUUGUGUGUAUCUUCGAGAGUGAAAUAUCACCUUCCUCUAUAACAUCACGCACAAAAUGAUACCUGACGUCAAUAUGCUUGGUUCGAGCAUGAUGAACCUGAUUCUUAGCCAAGUGAAUCGCACUCUAGCUAUCACACCACAAGUCCACACAAUCCUGCUCAAUCCCCAAAUCAUCUAGAAGACCCCAUAACCACAAUGCUUCCUUCACUCCCUCUGCCAUGGCCAUAUACUCGGCCUCUGUAGUAGAAAGAGCAACUGUAGCCUGUAACAUCGAUCGCCAACUAACUGGGGCACCAUGUAUGCAAAACACAUAUCCAGUAGUAGAUCGUCGUCUAUCUAGAUCACCUGCAUAAGUCGAGUCCACAAACCCACUUAUAUGACAUGCAUCUCUACCAAAAUAUAAACCCGUAUCCGCGGUACCUUUUAAGUACCUCAGGAUCCACUUCACAGCUUCCCAGUGUGCCUUCCCCAGAUUCGCCAUGAAUCUACUGACCACACUAACCGCCUGUGAAAUAUCUGGACGUGUACACACCAUGGCAUACAUCAAACUGCCAACUGCACUAACAUAAGGCACACGAUCCAUGCGUACCUUUUCUUCCGCUGUAGUAGGAGACUGUUUACCAAAGAGCCUGAAAUGUGAAGCCAAUGGAGUUACCACCGACUUUGCACCUUGCAACCCGAACCUAGCAAUAACCCGCUCAAUGUAGCCUUUCUGACUCAAGAACAUUCGCUGGUCCGUCCUCUCUCUUCUAAUCUCCAUACCCAGUAUUUUCCUAGCAGCCCCCAUAGCCUUCAUCUCAAACUCUUUACCAAGUUGAGAUUUCAACUUAUCUAUCUCCACCUUGCUUUUCGAAGUGAUAAGCAUGUCAUCCACAUACAGAAGAAGAUAGAUAUAGUUACCUCCCCGAAGUUUCCGAAUAUAAACACAACAGUCAUACUCACUUCUGGAGAAACCAUGCUUUAGCAUGAAGGAGUCAAAUCGCUUGUACCACUGCCGAGGAGAUUGCUUCAAUCCAUAUAGUGAUUUUCUCAAGCGACAUACCUGACGUUCCUUAUCCUCAACAUUGUAGCCCUCAGGUUGAUGCAUAUAGAUCUCCUCAUCCAAGUCCCCAUGCAAGAAGGUGGUUUUGACAUCGAGUUGUUCCAGCUUAAGAUCAUGAUGAGCAACAAUACUCAAUAGUACCCAAAUGGAAGUGUGCUUGACCACCGGAGAAAAGAUCUCAUUGUAGUCAACUCCAUCUCUUUGUGCAAACCCCUUAGCCACUAACCUUGCUUUGAAUCUUAUACCACCGAGCAUGGUAGGAUCCUCCUUCUUUUUAUACAACCACUUGCAACCAAUAGCUUUCUUACCUAUGGGCAAUGGGACAACCUCCCAUGUUUGGUUCUUGUGAAGUGAUUCCAUCUCUUCUUCCAUCGCUGCCAACCAACUCUCACUAUUGUUGUUUAAAAUAGCUUCCUUGAAAGUGGUAGGCUCAUCAUCCUCCACCGAGAGUGCAUACUCAACCAAAUUUGUCUGCCCAUAGUGCCUCAAAGGCUCGUCUGACCCCAACUUUAGAACUUGCUUAUAAGUACGGCGUGGCCUAGAGGAAGCCAAGUUAUCUGCAAGCUGCUGUUGUUGUUGUGCCUGUACAUUCUCUUGCUGAACCGCCUUUUGUUCAAGCCCAUCAUCACUCUCAUCUUGAGUGUCUGUAUGAUGCUGCUCUUGAACAUGCCUAGAAUCAGGUUGAUCUCUAGGUUCUAUGUCAACAACUUGAGACAUUGUAGUCUCAAUAUCAUCACCACCGGGCACUGUAGUUUUCAACGAAGCUAUCAUGGAGUUCUCAUCAAAAGUAACAUCUCUGCUGAUUAUGAACUUAGAAUCCUCUACACACCAAAGGCGAUAGCCUUUAACACCUGCUGCAUACCCCAAGAAUAUAGCCUUCUUGGCUCUCGCAUCGAGCUUUCCCUCGUUGACAUGAUAGUAGGCUGUGCAUCCGAAUGUUCUAAGUUUCUCAUAAUCUACAUGUUCUCCUGUCAAUACCCUGUAAGGUAUAUCUCCAUCUAACCUUGAAUGUGGAGACCGGUUCACAAUGUAGCAAGCAUUUGCAACCGACUCUGCCCACCAUUCUCUGCCCAAACCAGCAUAGGAUUGCAUACACAUCGAUUUCCCUCGAAAUGUGCGAUUCAGUCUUUCCGCGACCCGUUCUGUUGCGGUAUAUUUCUAACUGUCCAGUGUCUCACAAUGCCUUCCUUAUCACAGAACUCCUUGAAAGCACCAUCUGUAUACUCAGUACCGUUAUCAGAUCGCAGUGUCUUCAAUUUCUUUCCUGUUCUGUUUUCAACCAUUGUUUUCCACUUCUUGAAAGUGUCGAAUACUUCAUUCUUAUGCUUCAAAAAAUAAAUCCAAGCAUAUCUAGAAUAAUCAUCAACAAAUGUAACAAAAUACCUGGAACCGCCUUUGGAAGUGACAGAAGCCGGACCCCAUACAUCCGUGUGCACAUAGUCAAGAACGCCUCUGCUUCUAUGUUUGCUUGGCUGGAACUGAACUCGGUGUGCUUUACCGUACACGCAAUGCUCGCAAAAAUCCAUGCAAGGCUUCUUCAAGUUCUUCAGCAAACCUUUCUUGACUAGCAAAUCUAGCCCCUUUUCAGACAUAUGCCCAAGCCUUCUAUGCCAUAGCCGAGUGCACUCACAUGGGUCUCCACCACUUCCACUUGUUCCAACUGCUACAUCUUCAGUAACUGUAGUACCCUGAAGAGCAUAGAGAUUGCCUUCACGAAUACCCUUUAUCACAAUCAAAUAACCACGAACAACCUUCUUUACUCCAUUCCAUGUUACAAUCUUGCAACCACCGGAGUCUAAGGCACCAACGGAGAUAAAGUUCUUUAGCAAAUCAGGAACAUGUCUAACAUCCAUCAAUGUUCUAACCACUCCAUCAUGCAUCUUGAUUCUAAUUGAACCAAGCCCCACCGUUUUACAAGAAUGGUUAUUACCCAUCAACACGGUUCCACCAUCAGUGCUUCUAUAGGUAGUAAACCACUUCCUAUUUGGACACAUAUGGUAAGAGCAUCCAGAGUCAAGAAUCCACUUACCGGAGGUUUCUUCAUCACAAGAGAUGGUGUAGCACUCAUCGCUUUUCCCUCCUUCUGAGGCAUAGCUUACCUCUUGCUUGACUUGCACCUUCCCAUUGUUAUUGUUCUUAUUGUUCUUUUUCCAACCCUUUUUGUUAGGACAAUUCACCUUGAAAUGCCCAAGCUCGCCGCAUUUGAAACAAGACCUUUCCGCAAAAGGUCUAGAACUCGAUCUAGAUUUUUCUGCCUUGCCCUUUGGUCGCACAUUGCUUCUACCCCUUACAAACAAUCCUUGAGCUUGCUUCUUGUUACCAAUGGUAGACAUGCCACUAGUUGCAAUCUUUCGAAGAUCAUCCGCUAGAAGUGACGUUCUAGUGUCCUCCAUCACAAGUUUAUCCCCCACAAGCAUCAAUGUUUGUACUAGGUUCUCGUAAGACUUUGGUAAUGAAAGAAGUAGUAGAAGUGCUUGAUCCUCAUCAUCUACAUCCACAUCAAUGUCCUUCAAGUCCGAUAUGAUCCUAUCAAACUUGUUGACGUACUCCGGGAUUGGUAUACCUUCAUCCAUCUUGCAAGAAUACAAUUUGGACUUCAAAUAGAUCCGAUUUGUUAGAGUCUUCGUCAUGAAGUUCGCCUCCAACUUUGUCCACACCUCCGCCGCCGUUACCUCACUAUCAACCAAGAAAGCAACAUCUCUUUCAAGGCAAAGAAUGAUAGACGCUCGUGCCUCAAGAUCUAGCUCUUCCCAAUCCUCGUCCGACAUAUCAACGUGCUUCUUCUCCUUUCCCGUCAAUGCUUUGUGCAACUUUUGAGAAAUCAACAAAUUUUUCAUUUGCAUUCUCCAAUAUGAAAAAUCAUUCUUCCCAUUGAAUUUCUCUAUCUCAUACUUCCCAAUCUUCACCAUUCCUCUAGUAGACAUGAUUUAUCCACUUGUUUACAAAAAAAUAAAUCACCAAAGUUCACUUAGGAAUUUUCACAAACACCUUGUGCACAACAAAGUUCAAGCAACUCACCACAAAAUCGAAGCUUAACCACCUUGAUUUAGAAAGAAACUCUGAUACCAAAUUGUUGGGAAAACACCUUCCAAAGAUUGCCCAAAGAUCAAACAAAGUUGACAAUGUGAAAAUUUCCAAACCACUUCAAGAACAAGAAAAUGAGGAAGAAAUGAUUUCAAUGGAUAAAUGGAGAACAAUGUGUUUGGAUUACUUGAACAAGCCUCAAGUUAAUCCCUAAGAAAGAAAAAUAACUUUGAAUUUAUACCCAAGAUGAACAACCUUCAAUCUUGUAAAAUUCUCUCCAAGUUUUCUCUCAAGUUUUUCUCUAAAAAACGGGCGCAAGGGUUUAUCUAUAUGCGAAAGAGGCAAAAAACCGGGAUAUAUAUAAUGUACCGGGGCGCCUAGGCGCCCAUGAGUGGCGCCUGGGUGCCCACAGAUGGCGCCUAGGCGCCAUUUACUUUCUCUUCAAUUUCUUCUCUUCUCACACUAACCAUCAUACAACCUGGACCCAGCAAGGAGUACUUAUAACCUACAUGGGAGAGCCUAACCUUGGUCCAUUAGACACAAGAAUAAAGCUCUGAGAGAUAGGGGAGAACUUGUGAAAUAAAUGGAUAAAUUACAAGUCAGUUCAGAUAACCUCUCAACAGAACUCUAGAUUGGCCACGAGGUACCACAACCAUUGCGAUCUCAGCUGGUAGAAUUUCUCCAACAAUACCUUGAUGUCUUUGCCUUGAUUCAUAUGAAUAUGGUAGGAAUUGAUCCAAAGGUAACCUACCAUAUGGUAAAUGUCGACCCUUCAGUUUGUCCAAAGAAAUAAGAACGACGCCUGCUUAAUCCCAAGAAAUAUGAAGCUUUAAGAAAAAGUAGAAAAAUUACUUAACAAUGUAUUCAUUCGUGAGGUAGUCUACCAAAGUCGAUUGCCAAUCCAGUGUUAGUAAAGAAGGGGCUGCAUAGAUUUUAUUGAUCCCAACAAAGUGUAUCCUACGGAUAAUUU
rnacentral:lncRNA from 1 species